rnacentral:rRNA from 1 species
GAUGAACGCUAGCUAUAGGCUUAACACAUGCAAGUCGAGGGGAAACGGCAGAGAGUGCUUGCACACUUUGGACGUCGACCGGCGCACGGGUGAGUAACGCGUAUCCAACCUGCCCUUUACUUGGGGAUAACCCGUUGAAAGACGGACUAAUACCCAAUGAUAUUCAUUGAUGACAUCUGAUUUGAAUUAAAGAUUUAUCGGUAUAGGAUGGGGAUGCGUCUGAUUAGCUUGUUGGUGAGGUAACGGCUCACCAAGGCCACGAUCAGUAGGGGUUCUGAGAGGAAGGUCCCCCACAUUGGAACUGAGACACGGUCCAAACUCCUACGGGAGGCAGCAGUGAGGAAUAUUGGUCAAUGGACGAGAGUCUGAACCAGCCAAGUAGCGUGCAGGAUGACGGCCCUAUGGGUUGUAAACUGCUUUUGUUUGGGAAUAAUCGACAUUACGUGUAAUGUUUUGCAUGUACCAUUCGAAUAAGGACCGGCUAAUUCCGUGCCAGCAGCCGCGGUAAUACGGAAGGUCCAGGCGUUAUCCGGAUUUAUUGGGUUUAAAGGGAGUGUAGGCGGUUGGUUAAGCGUGUUGUGAAAUGUAGAUGCUCAACAUCUGACUUGCAGCGCGAACUGGCUGACUUGAGUACACACAACGUAGGCGGAAUUCAUGGUGUAGCGGUGAAAUGCUUAGAUAUCAUGAAGAACUCCGAUUGCGAAGGCAGCUUACGGGAGUGUUACUGACGCUUAAGCUCGAAGGUGCGGGUAUCGAACAGG